rnacentral:rRNA from 1 species
GGAAAAGAAACCAACAGGGAUUGCCUCAGUAACGGCGAGUGAAGCGGCAAGAGCUCAAAUUUGAAAUCUGGCGUCUCUGGACGUUCGAGUUGUAAUUUGAAGAGGAGUCUUCGGCACCGGCCAUGAUCUAUGUUCCUUGGAACAGGACGUCGUAGAGGGUGAGAAUCCCGUACACGGUUGAUGGCCUGGAGCUAUGUGAAGUUCCUUCGAAGAGUCGAGUUGUUUGGGAAUGCAGCUCUAAAUGGGUGGUAAAUUUCAUCUAAAGCUAAAUACCGGCGAGAGACCGAUAGCGCACAAGUAGAGUGAUCGAAAGAUGAAAAGCACUUUGAAAAGAGAGUUAAACAGUACGUGAAAUUGUUGAAAGGGAAGCGCUUGCAAUCAGACUUGACUUGGGUUGAUCAACGUUCCUUCUGGUUCGUGCACUCAGCCUUUGUCAGGCCAGCAUCGGUUCGGACGGCGGGACAAAGACCUCGGGAAUGUGGCUCCCUUCGGGGAGUGUUAUAGCCCUUGGUGCAAUGCCGCCUGACCGGACCGAGGACCGCGCUUCGGCUAGGAUGCUGGCGUA